CACAAGCAGCGGAGCGUGUGGUUUUAAUUCGAUGAUACGCGAAGAACCUCACCCAGGUUUUGACAUGCACGUGGUACUGAUCCGAAAGGUGAUGGACCCUUCGGGGAGCGUGCACAGGUGUUGCAUGGCCGUCGUCAGCUCGUGCCGUGAGGUGUUGGGUUAAGUCCCGCAACGAGCGCAACCCCUGUCGCCAGUUGUAUUUUUCUGGCGAGACUGCCGAGAAAACCUCGGAGGAAGGAGGGGAUGAUGUCAGGUCAGCAUGGCCCUUACGCCUGGGGCUACACACACGCUACAAUGGGCAGUACAACGGGCAGCCAAGCCGCGAGGUGGAGCUAAUCCCACAAAGCCAUCCUCAGUUCGGAUUGCAGGCUGAAACUCGCCUGCAUGAAGCCGGAGUUGCUAGUAACCGCAGGUCAGCACUACUGCGGUGAAUACGUUCCCGGGCCUU
rnacentral:rRNA from 1 species